AGUGAACGCUGGCGGCAGGCCUAACACAUGCAAGUCGAACGGCAGCACAGUAAGAGCUUGCUCUUACGGGUGGCGAGUGGCGGACGGGUGAGGAAUACAUCGGAAUCUACUCUUUCGUGGGGGAUAACGCAGGGAAACUUACGCUAAUACCGCAUACGACCUACGGGUGAAAGCAGGGGAUCUUCGGACCUUGCGCGAUUGAAUGAGCCGAUGUCGGAUUAGCUAGUUGGCGGGGUAAAGGCCCACCACGGCGACGAUCCGUAGCGGGUCUGAGAGGAUGAUCAGCCACACUGGAACUGAGACACGGUCCAGACUCCUACGGGAGGCAGCAGUGGGGAAUAUUGGGCAAUGGGCGCAAGCCUGAUCCAGCCAUACCGCGUGGGUGAAGAAGGCCUUCGGGUUGUAAAGCCCUUUUGUUGGGAAAGAAAAGCAGCAGGUUAAUACCCCGCUGUUCUGACGGUACCCAAAGAAUAAGCACCGGCUAACUUCGUG
rnacentral:rRNA from 1 species